GGGGUUGUAACUCAGGGGUAGAGUGCCUGCUUUGCAUGCAGGAAGGCCGGGGUUCAAAUCCCCGCAGCUCCA
rnacentral:tRNA from 1 species